rnacentral:rRNA from 1 species
UACGAAGGGGGCUAGCGUUGUUCGGAUUUACUGGGCGUAAAGCGCACGUAGGCGGAUUGGUCAGUUAGGGGUGAAAUCCUGGAGCUCAACUCCCGAACUGCCUUUAAUACUGCCAGUCUCGAGUCCGGAAGAGGUAAGUGGAACUCCUAGUGUAGAGGUGGAAUUCGUAGAUAUUAGGAAGAACACCAGUGGCGAAGGCGGCUUACUGGUCCGGUACUGACGCUGAGGUGCGAAAGCGUGGGGAGCAAACAGG